rnacentral:rRNA from 1 species
AUUGAACGCUGGCGGCAUGCUUUACACAUGCAAGUCGAACGGUAACAGGGAGCUUGCUCCGCUGACGAGUGGCGAACGGGUGAGUAAUGCGUCGGAACGUGCCGAGUAGUGGGGGAUAACGCAUCGAAAGGUGUGCUAAUACCGCAUACGUACUGAGGUAGAAAGUGGGGGACCUUCGGGCCUCACGCUAUUCGAGCGGCCGACGUCUGAUUAGCUAGUUGGUGAGGUAAAGGCUCACCAAGGCGACGAUCAGUAGCGGGUCUGAGAGGAUGAUCCGCCACACUGGGACUGAGACACGGCCCAGACUCCUACGGGAGGCAGCAGUGGGGAAUUUUGGACAAUGGGCGCAAGCCUGAUCCAGCCAUGCCGCGUGUCUGAAGAAGGCCUUCGGGUUGUAAAGGACUUUUGUCCGGGAGCAAAUGCUGGUGGCUAACACCCACCGGAGCUGAGAGUACCGGAAGAAUAAGCACCGGCUAACUACGUGCCAGCAGCAGCCGCGGUAA